AUGAACGUUGGCGGCAUGGAUUAGGCAUGCAAGUCGCGCGCGAAAUGUAGCAAUACAUGGAGAGCGGCGAAAGGGAGAGGAAUACGUGGGAACCUACCUUCGGGCCUGGAAUAGCGGCGGGAAACUGCCGGUAAUGCCAGAUAACGUCCCCGGACCAAAGGUGUGAUUCCGCCGGAAGAUGGGCCCACGUCCUAUCAGCUUGUUGGUGUGGUAACGGCGCACCAAGGCUAAGACGGGUAUGGGGUGUGAGAGCAUGCCCCCACUCACUGGGACUGAGACACUGCCCAGACACCUACGGGUGGCUGCAGUCGAGAAUCUUCGGCAAUGAGCGCAAGCUUGACCGAGCGAUGCCGCGUGCGGGAUGAAGGCCCUCGGGUUGUAAACCGCUGUCGUAGGGGAGUAAUGGUCAGGGGGUUCUCCCUCUGAUUUGAACAAUCCUAGGAGGAAGGACGGGCUAAGUUCGU
rnacentral:rRNA from 1 species